UGGAAAGCAAGCUUUCCUGUCACUAAGCCGUGAUGUUGUAAAGAGUUCUGAAGUCAACUUUGAGAUCCUAGCCUGGGGCAGAGAAAGACAGUUUCUACAUGGUAACAGCAACAGCAACUGGCCAGUUCUGUCUCCACAUGGUCAGCCUGAGAAACAUACUAUAAAGCUCCACUACCGAAGAGGAAGUGGAUCGUACCUAAGUGAUGGUGGGGUCAUCCACUCAGCUUCUUGCCCAAGAUCUCCAUGGCGUAUCAUCUCACAUAGUGUCCUGCAUCUGGCGGAGUCUUGAGAAUAAGGCUGGAUGAUGGUGAUAACGAGAAUGAAUGAAGAUGGUGAAAUCUGGAAUGGUCUAGUUGUCAAUAUUUUAAUGUAGCCAACAUAGGCACUUUUGAAGUGGCCUCCGAUGCGAAGGUUGGAAUGCAGUGGCAUGAUACUGUAACAUCCGCCUCCCAGGUUCAAGCAGUUCUCCUGCCUCAGCCUCCUGAGUAGCUGAAAUUACAGGCACCUGCCACCAUGCCCAGCUAACUUUUUUGUAUUUUUAGUAGAGAUGGGGUUUCACAUGUUGGCCAGGCUGGUCUUGAACCCCCAACCUUCAGUGAUCUGCCCAUCUUGGCCUCCUAAAAUGUUGGGAUUACAGACAUGAACC
rnacentral:lncRNA from 10 species